rnacentral:rRNA from 1 species
UGGGGAAUUUUGGACAAUGGGGGAAACCCUGAUCCAGCCAUCCCGCGUGUGCGAUGAAGGCCUUCGGGUUGUAAAGCACUUUUGGCAGGAAAGAAACGUCGUGGGUUAAUACCCCGCGAAACUGACGGUACCUGCAGAAUAAGCACCGGCUAACUACGUGCCAGCAGCCGCGGUAAUACGUAGGGUGCAAGCGUUAAUCGGAAUUACUGGGCGUAAAGCGUGCGCAGGCGGUUCGGAAAGAAAGAUGUGAAAUCCCAGAGCUUAACUUUGGAACUGCAUUUUUAACUACCGGGCUAGAGUGUGUCAGAGGGAGGUGGAAUUCCGCGUGUAGCAGUGAAAUGCGUAGAUAUGCGGAGGAACACCGAUGGCGAAGGCAGCCCUCCCUGGGGAUAAACGCAUGCAUGCGCUCAUGCACGAAAGCGUGGGGGAGCAAACAGGAUUAGAUACCCUGGGUAGUCCAACGCCCUAAACGAUGUCAACUAGCUAGUUGGGGUCUUCGGACCUUGGUAGCNCAGCUAACGCGUGAAGUUGACCGCCUGGGGAGUACGGUCGGCAAGAUU